rnacentral:rRNA from 1 species
UACGGAGGAUGCGAGCGUUAUCCGGAUUUAUUGGGUUUAAAGGGUGCGUAGGCGGGAUGCCAAGUCAGCGGUAAAAAUGCGGUGCUCAACGCCGUCGAGCCGUUGAAACUGGCGUUCUUGAGUGGGCGAGAAGUACGCGGAAUGCGUGGUGUAGCGGUGAAAUGCAUAGAUAUCACGCAGAACUCCGAUUGCGAAGGCAGCAUACCGGCGCCCUACUGACGCUGAGGCACGAAAGCGUGGGUAUCGAACGGG